UUUUAUGGAGAGUUUGAUCCUGGCUCAGGAUGAACGCUGGCGGCGUGCCUAAUACAUGCAAGUCGAGCGAACGGAUGAGAAGCUUGCUUCUCUGAUGUUAGCGGCGGACGGGUGAGUAACACGUGGAUAACCUACCUAUAAGACUGGGAUAACUUCGGGAAACCGGAGCUAAUACCGGAUAAUAUUUUGAACCGCAUGGUUCAAAAGUGAAAGACGGUCUUGCUGUCACUUAUAGAUGG
rnacentral:rRNA from 1 species